ACAGCUCAGCUGUAUGUCAGCGGAGCGGGUUUGUAUGGGUGGAUCGUGUUGGAACGUGGCGGGAGAGAGGCCGCGAGCGUCGGCGAAGGCGGGACGGAUGUUUGUUUGUGCGUGCGGCGCAGCCGAGAUGGAUUUUUCACGGAGACGUCAAAAUUUCAAAAUAUGCUUCAGUGCUGGAAGGGUGAUUUGUGUCCUUGUUUUUUUUUUAUGUAUCAAUAUCAGUGUUACUUGGCAUUUAACCCUAUUAAAGUAGAGGAUCCACCUGUGUUUCCUGAGGUUUUGCCACUGGGGGGCGGCUCAAACAUGCUGCCAAUUACAAAUUAUCAUUAAACGAACAGAGGGUUGGUUCUGUAGCAUCGGCGACGUAUUGGUGGUGUGUGGAGAGGCUUUUGAAAUACAUAAGCCGGGCGGAUGUGAGAACAAGGCGAGAAGAGGAAACCGCUGCCUCAGUGACGCUGUGUCCAGGCGUCAGCCACAUCCAAACACACCUCAAACGGUUUUAAUCACUUUGUUGUUCUCCCCGGUUACAAAGAGACCGAGAGGCAGAACAAUUGUGUUUCCAAGAGUUUCUGAAGUGCACAGGGGGAAUCCAUAAAACAUGGAAGAGUAGAAAGAAAGACUUUCAAGGAUUAGAUUUUUUUUCUUACAGGAAAGUUUAACAGGUCAAAGGAACACAACAACAUCACAAACACACAAGCAAACACAGUAGAUGCCUCAUCUCUAGUUGAGUUUUUGUCUCUGAUUGCUUCCCUUGUGUUGCUCCUGGCCGAGGCUUAUCAAAGAGCUCCUUUCAUAAGUGCCAGGAUCAAGCCACUGCUGCGACUGCUUGGCACCCACUGAGGUGGUUUGGAGAUGGGGAGGAGGAGGUGGGGAGGGGGGUUCAAAACAAGGAAGGUGCAGCAGAGGAAGUCGAAAUUGAAGAUGGCGAGCGAAGAAGAGACGGUGCAUUUGUGCAUUUAGAAGCAAAAUGGAUGAAAGGAAACGGCUUUGGGUUCAGAGAGACAAUUGCGGAUGGCGUGUGCAUCGUGUGUGUCUGUGUGUGUUUACAGAAAGUGGGCACACGCACACACACACACACACACACACACACACACACACACACACACACACACACACACACACACACACACACACACACACACCUUUACAGGACACUAUAGCCUGGUGAGCUCUUCAUUUGUGCAUUGUAGACCCCAUUAACCCCUUUGUGCAAUGAUCUGCUUACAUUUGCAUGAAUGCCAAAUAUUUACUACCUGAGAGCUAGACUUUGUACAGAUGCAGUGAAAGUCUGAAAGUCCUUUCCUCCGCCGAACAGCUGAUCCCUGUGAGUUGUUUAACUCUGUGUCCUCUGUGCAGACUGAAAAAAACAGCUGAGAAAUCAUGCGCCGGCCCUUUAACUGACCUGCUGCAGCGCCGGCUAAUGUAAUCCAGGCUCCCAGAGGAUGCGAUAACCUUUCCACCUUGGCCAGGACUGCAGCGUCACUCACAGCAUGAACUGAAAACUCUCCUCGCUAAACACUCCACAUCGCUCGCUCCUCUCUGUCUUCCUCCCCCACACGCUCCUGAUUUGAAUACUUUCCUACGCGAAAGGGGAAGACCCAAGAUGUGUUACUGCAUCCAGGCGCUGCACAUAAGAGCCUGUUGAAACCUCAGCAGGAGUCCAGCGAAGGCUCUUUGUGGCCCGGUCCUGCUCCCAGCCAGGCGAGGCUGCAGCGGAGGAACCAGCCAGGAAUAUUCCGUCCUCGGAGGAAGGGAGUACAAUAAAGAACAUCCCCAGAGGUGAGAUAAAGGGAGCAGAUGAAGAUUGUUUGGAGCGAGGUGUGAAACCCCACGGGCCAUGUACAAAAGGGUGUGUUUAGAUGUUGUGGUAUUCAGAAGGCACAGGUAGCCAGACUGUAAAAACACCCAUUGUAUUUAACUGUAUGACCUGUUUAUAUGCUGCUGAGCCAGUAACAGCUGUUUUCCUGGUGUCCAUCUGUGUAAAUACACACAUGGGCGUGUGUCCAGCUUGUGCUUGUGAAUGGGAUUUCUUAAAAUGUAAUUAUUUUUUAAUAUGUGACGCAAAUGUCCCAUUACAGGCAAGGAUGAAACCAUGAUUGUAACUAGACUGCUCAGUUUCAGUUUGUUUGAGAUUACACAUUUUAUUACUGGAACGGAAACAUGACUUUUCUCUACCGUUCUCUACAGACAGUUUUCAGAUACAGUAGAUAUUGUGAGAUGAAACUUAUUAAAAUUGAAAAUAAGUAUUUUAAGUAAAUAAAUGUUACUUUUGGAUGCAACGUGCUUCUCUCUACUUUAUACUUUAUCACUUUAUACAUACAGAAAUAAUAUUAAAAGACUUCUUGGCUGGUCACCCAACUGUACAUGUACAUUUAUCCCUGAAACUUUUAAUGGGCUUCUAAUGAUGAAGUCAAUG